UGUGCUACUUCGAUAUGACAAUGACGCUAAGAUUUUACAAGAGUAAUAAUCUAAUUUUUUAUUUAAGAAUAUUAUGGAUGACAACAUUUGUUCCUACAACACUUUGUUUUUCUUCCUUUAGACCCGACUUUAACUGGAUAUUUUAUUCAAAAAAGAUCAUAACUCGAGGAAAGACUGACCUUAACGAUGGUGCCCAGAUGUUUGAAAUAUGGAUACACAAUCAUAUAUCCCUAGUUAAAAACACUUCGAGCUAUAUAAACCUGGAAGUUAACAUUGAGACUUCAUUGCAUGUCGUUUCAGCGACUGAUGUGCCCUGCAAACUGACAAGGACUUACAUUCCGCUAGCUUUUGCUGGAUUGUCUGUUUCUAUACUUCUCAUUGGAAUUAUGUUGGUUAAAACUCGACGUGAAG